AGGGCACCACCAGGAGUGGAGCCUGCGGCUUAAUUUGACUCAACACGGGAAAACUCACCCGGCCCGGACACUGGAAGGAUUGACAGAUUGAGAGCUCUUUCUUGAUUCAGUGGGUGGUGGUGCAUGGCCGUUCUUAGUUGGUGGAGUGAUUUGUCUGGUUAAUUCCGAUAACGAACGAGACUCUAGCCUACUAAAUAGAUCGUCGGCUUACAAACGCCGGCGAGACUUCUUAGAGGGACAGGCGGUGAUUCAACCGCACGAAACAGAGCAAUAACAGGUCUGUGAUGCCCUUAGAUGUCCGGGGCCGCACGCGCGCUACACUGAAGUGAUCAGCGUGCUUUUUCAACCUACUCUGUCAAGAGUGGGGAACCCAAUGAACCUUCUUCGUGAUUGGGAUAGGGGAUUGUAAUUAUUCCCCUUGAACGAGGGAUUCCCAGUAAGCGCGAGUCAUAAGCUCGCGUUGAUUACGUCCCUGCCCUUUGUACACACCGCCCGUCGCUACUACCGAUUGAAUGUUUU
rnacentral:rRNA from 1 species